UUUUGUCAUUUCAGUUCGUCGAUUCGUAUUUUGAGAUUUUUUGUGCGAAGUAGAUAAUUAUUACUAGUUCUACUCCUUUGUCAUUUUAUAGAGAAGGAAUAAGAAUUGUAUAGUUAAACGUGUAAAAUAACAAUAUUAUCUAAGAAUUAAGAAAUAAAAAAGUAUCCUUCGUAGUCUAAUCGACUUCAAAAUGCAAAUUUUCGUGAAAACACUCACUGGCAAAACCAUCACUUUGGAAGUUGAGCCAUCUGACACCAUCGAAAAUGUGAAGGCAAAGAUCCAAGACAAGGAGGGAAUCCCACCAGAUCAGCAGCGUUUGAUCUUCGCUGGCAAGCAGCUGGAAGAUGGUCGCACAUUGUCAGACUACAACAUCCAAAAAGAGUCUACCCUCCAUCUUGUGCUACGUCUACGUGGUGGUAUGCAAAUCUUUGUAAAGACCCUCACUGGUAAAACCAUCACACUUGAAGUAGAGCCUUCUGACACUAUUGAGAAUGUAAAAGCAAAGAUUCAAGACAAAGAGGGCAUCCCACCAGACCAGCAACGUUUGAUCUUUGCUGGCAAGCAGCUGGAAGAUGGCCGUACCCUGUCAGACUACAAUAUCCAAAAGGAGUCUACCCUUCACUUGGUCUUGCGUCUCCGAGGUGGUAUGCAGAUCUUUGUAAAGACCCUCACUGGGAAGACAAUAACUCUGGAAGUAGAAGCAUCAGAUACCAUUGAAAAUGUGAAGGCAAAGAUCCAGGACAAAGAGGGAAUCCCGCCUGACCAACAACGCUUGAUCUUUGCUGGCAAACAGCUGGAAGAUGGCAGGACUCUCUCCGAUUAUAACAUUCAGAAAGAAUCUACCCUUCACUUGGUGUUGCGUCUGCGUGGUGGUAUGCAGAUCUUUGUGAAAACCCUUACUGGGAAAACAAUAACUUUGGAAGUGGAAGCAUCAGAUACAAUUGAAAAUGUGAAGGCAAAGAUCCAAGAUAAGGAAGGGAUUCCACCAGACCAGCAGCGUCUCAUCUUUGCUGGCAAACAGUUGGAAGAUGGCCGAACUCUUUCAGACUACAAUAUCCAAAAAGAGUCUACACUACAUCUUGUGCUCCGUCUGCGUGGUGGUAUGCAAAUCUUUGUGAAAACACUCACUGGCAAAACUAUCACACUUGAAGUAGAGCCAUCUGACACUAUUGAGAAUGUGAAGGCAAAGAUCCAAGAUAAGGAAGGGAUCCCACCAGACCAGCAGCGUCUCAUCUUUGCUGGCAAGCAGUUAGAAGAUGGCCGUACCCUUUCGGACUACAACAUUCAAAAGGAGUCCACCCUACAUCUUGUGCUCCGUCUCCGUGGUGGUAUGCAGAUCUUCGUGAAGACCCUUACUGGAAAGACAAUCACCCUGGAAGUAGAAGCAUCAGACACCAUUGAAAAUGUAAAGGCAAAGAUCCAGGACAAAGAGGGGAUCCCACCAGACCAGCAGCGUCUCAUCUUUGCUGGCAAGCAGUUAGAAGAUGGACGUACCCUUUCAGAUUACAACAUUCAAAAGGAGUCCACCCUACAUCUUGUGCUCCGUCUCCGUGGUGGUAUGCAGAUCUUCGUGAAGACACUUACUGGAAAGACAAUCACUCUGGAAGUAGAAGCAUCAGACACCAUUGAGAAUGUAAAGGCAAAGAUCCAGGACAAAGAAGGAAUCCCACCAGACCAGCAGCGUCUCAUCUUUGCCGGCAAACAGUUGGAAGAUGGACGUACUCUAUCAGACUACAACAUUCAAAAGGAGUCUACCCUACAUCUUGUGCUCCGUCUCCGUGGUGGUAUGCAGAUCUUCGUGAAGACCCUUACUGGAAAGACAAUCACUCUGGAAGUAGAAGCAUCAGACACCAUUGAGAAUGUAAAGGCAAAGAUCCAGGACAAAGAGGGAAUCCCACCAGACCAGCAGCGUCUCAUCUUUGCCGGAAAACAGUUGGAAGAUGGACGUACCCUUUCAGAUUACAACAUUCAAAAGGAGUCUACCCUACAUCUUGUGCUCCGUCUCCGUGGUGGUAUGCAGAUCUUCGUGAAGACACUUACUGGAAAAACAAUCACUCUGGAAGUAGAAGCAUCAGACACCAUUGAGAAUGUCAAGGCAAAGAUCCAGGACAAAGAGGGAAUCCCACCAGACCAGCAGCGUCUCAUCUUUGCCGGCAAACAGUUGGAAGAUGGUCGUACCCUGUCAGACUACAACAUUCAAAAGGAGUCCACCCUACAUCUUGUGCUCCGUCUGCGUGGUGGCAUGCAGAUCUUUGUGAAGACCCUCACUGGAAAGACAAUCACACUUGAAGUGGAGCCAUCAGACACUAUUGAGAAUGUAAAGGCCAAGAUCCAGGACAAAGAGGGAAUCCCACCAGACCAGCAGCGUCUUAUUUUCGCUGGUAAACAGUUAGAGGAUGGGCGCACCCUUUCUGAUUACAACAUACAAAAGGAAUCAACUCUGCAUUUAGUUCUGCGUCUUCGUGGCGGCAAUUAAUCAAUCGUAACAUCUCAAUGUACCAUGUAGCAAUUUCUGAUAAAAUUUCUAAUUUAAAUAUGUAAUAGUAGAUUCAAAAUCUACUGUUUACUGAAUAAAUUAAUGUUAUCUGUUGAGGAUACCCCCCUCAAUCUUUGAAGAUCUUCACUUAGGUAUAAUAGGUCUAACUUGACGCUUUGCAAAAUUUAUUUUGGACAGAACUUAAUACUUAAUGUCAAAGAUAUAUUAUAUCAAACUAACUGCGUCAGUUACUUUUUCAACUCUAAAAAGUAUUUUUAACAUUUUGAUUUGAAACCAGUUAUAUGCUUUUUAAGUGCAAAAAUGAUGUAUGACAACACUUUAACUCGUAUCGAAGAUUGCCAUAUUUUGAUGAAUCGGCACACAAAUGACGGGAUUCUGUAUAAACGAUCACCGUUUGUGAUGAAAAGAGGACAUAUGAUGGGACCUAAGAUAUGUAUUCUUUGAUGUAAUGGAAAAGACAUACUUCUCCAAGAGCGUCGAGACGAGUCCUUUCAGUAUCUCGGUGCACUGUUGGUGGUACUCCAGUA